rnacentral:lncRNA from 1 species
GCAGUAGCAUGAUUUUGGCUUACCGCAACCUUUGCCUUCUGGGUUGAAGCAGUUCUCCUGCCUCAGCCUCCCGAGUAGCUAGGAUUACAGGCACACACCACGCCUGGCUAAUUUUUGUAUUUUUAGAACAGACAAGGUUUCAUUAUGUUGGCCAGGCUGGUCUCAAACUCCUGACUUUGUGAUUUGCAUGCCUUGGCCUUCUUUCUGAAGUACUGGGAUUACAGGUGUGAGCCACGGCACCCAGCCCUCAUCAUGCUUUUGAUUUAGCCAAAGAAUCAAGGUAUUGGUGAAGAAUUGAAGAUUGAAAGUUACACGUUUUUUGCUAAGUAACUCCAGUGGGCCUCCAUUGUCUCCAAGUCAACUUUCCUCCUCAUCUACAACUUCUCCACAGCAGCCCUGAACACCUGUUCACCUGGAUCUACCAUGAAAGACUUCAGAGUCCAGGAAGAGACUGACUGGGCAGCAUGUUAUUCAGGUACAAAAGACUUGGACGAUAACUCAGAAGUGAU